UACAGAGGUCUCAAGCGUUGGUCGGAUUCAUUGGGCGUAAAGGGUGCGUAGGUGGCGAGGUUAGUCAGGUGUGAAAUCUCGGGGCUCAACCCCGAAACUGCACUUGAUACUGCCUUGCUAGAGUACUGGAGAGGAGAUUGGAAUUUACGGUGUAGCAGUGAAAUGCGUAGAUAUCGUAAGGAAGACCAGUGGCGAAGGCGAAUCUCUGGACAGUUACUGACACUGAGGCACGAAGGCCAGGGGAGCAAACGGG
rnacentral:rRNA from 1 species